rnacentral:misc_RNA from 1 species
AAAUGCGAUAAUUAAUGUGAAUUGCAGAAUUCAGUGAAUCAUCGAGUCUUUGAACGCACAUUGCGCCCCCUGGUAUUCCGGGGGGCAUGCCUGUCCGAGCGUCAUUGCUGCCCUCAAGCACGGCUUGUGUGUUGGGCUUCCGUCCCUGGCAACGGGGACGGGCCCAAAAGGCAGUGGCGGCACCAUGUCUGGUCCUCGAGCGUAUGGGGCUUUGUCACCCGCUCCCGUAGGUCCAGCUGGCAGCUAGCCUCGCAACCAAUCUUUUUAACCAGGUUGACCUCGGAUCAGGUAGGGAUACGCGCUGAACUUAAGC